UACUCCUGGGAAAGAGCUCACAUUAAAUAUUACCAUACUCAGUUUUCCAGCAACACCUGGGAAAGGGGUGAGAAAAUGACAGUUUAUUGGUAUCUAGUUUCACAUAAAUGUUUCAUAUCUUUUGACCCUGAUGACAUAGAAAGGGACCUUGUCUUACAGCACACAGAACUUUGAUCCAAACUGUCAAAAACAAAAGAUAUUAUGAACUGCAAAAAGAGAAAGUCAUUUUAGAUCACCCCAUUGAUUUUUUUAAAUAGGGUGAGAUUGAAGCACUUUCACAUUCUUCAAUUAAUGGGAUCUAUCUUGUAAAUCAUUGGGUGAUCCAAAUAAACGACAGUGGUAGAACAACAUCAGUAUCUGAGGACUUAGUUGUAGCCAGGAUUCCACUACACAUGCGAAUAUUUCAGUUACUAUCUCUGUAAUGCUGAAAGAUACAUUUAUAAGCUACCAGGUAAAACUGGUAAAAAUAGAAAUUCCUGUGUUUCUACCUCAGGAAAAUAAUCUACAUUUUUUUAGGUAGAAUUUCCUUUUUUGCUCUUUGUCCACAAAAAAUAUUGUGUGUCAGGAUAAACAGAGCAAUAUUACAGACUAUCCCUAUGCUUAUGAGUUGUUUCCUUAGUGACAGAUGGGAAAAGCAAAGCUAAAGUAGUUAAUGUACAUUUCUGUUAAGAAACAAAACCAGAAUGAAUAUUUAAUUAGUUACUUCCUUAAAUAUUCCACUAUAUGAAGAAAAUGUGUACAUGUACACUCAAUAUACAUGUAUAUAAAAGAGUAGAACUCUGAAAUUUUUUUUCCUUUCAUACAGGAAAAGUCUUGCUGUAACUCUGUCUAAUUUCAAAUUUUGUUUCUUUUCCAAUCUAAACAAUAUUUGGAAAAUGUUCACUUGCACAAAUUAACACCAUCAUGAUUUUUUUUAAACCAAGGUCUAAUUUUAAUGAUAAUAUUUCACCUAUAAAAAGUGAGGAUAACAAGUUUGUAUUCAUACAAAAGUGUUAAUUAAUGAAAGACAAACCUUUGCCAGUUAUUGACACAUUCCUCUGUAAUCCUGUUAUGUGGAACAUUCUAAUGAAGUCAUAGUUUAUUACUAAUGAUCUAGCUUUGUUUAAAAAAAAAAAACCUGUGAGGGGGAGGGGGGGUUUGAAAUAAUUUAUUUUCUUUGGUGUAUUUUUUAUCACAGCAGGUAAGAAUGCUGCAUUUUGACUGCCACAUUGUAUGUGGGAUGAGGGGGUAUGACCUCAGAAGCAGCAAUGGAGAACUUGCUCUUUCACACUUCAGCACACACUGCUGUGAACCAGCACUUUGGUCAUAUUAUCCGCCGCACCACAAAGCUGUCCGCUAAUUAUCUCUGAAUACGAAUUUUAUUGAACCUUAAUUUUCAGUAAUGGGGCCUGAUAGCUGGAGAAGAAAGACAAAAGAAGGGUCCCUUUGUUUCUCCCCUCACAAUAACCUUCUAGUGCUGGAGCUAUGGCAGAACUCAUUAAACUUGAACAAUGAGUUGAAAUAUGAUCGUGUUAUUUUUGUCCCUGCCCCCAAACCAGGCUGGUCCUGUCUGCCAGCCUGUCCAUCUGUCUAACGAUAUGGGAAGAGACAUCGAUUUUGUAGUGGACACUUUUAAAACACAUUCCAAACUCCUACCCAAUCACCAGGAACAUGAAUCUGAGCAGAAAUUUGAUUCUUUUGUACAUGUUGGGCAAGGUCUCAUGGCAAGUUUAGCAGCAAUUCG
ensembl:lncRNA